rnacentral:rRNA from 1 species
ACGAACGCUGGCGGCGUGCUUAACACAUGCAAGUCGAACGGAAAGGCCCUGCUUUUGUGGGGUGCUCGAGUGGCGAACGGGUGAGUAACACGUGAGUAACCUGCCCUUGACUUUGGGAUAACUUCAUGAAACUGGGGCUAAUACCGGAUAGGAGCUCCUGCUGCAUGGUGGGGGUUGGAAAGUUUCGGCGGUUGGGGAUGGACUCGCGGCUUAUCAGCUUGUUGGUGGGGUAGUGGCUUACCAAGGCUUUGACGGGUAGCCGGCCUGAGGGGGUGACCGGCCACAUUGGGACUGAGAUACGGCCCAGACUCCUACGGGAGGCAGCAGUGGGGAAUAUUGCACAAUGGGCGGAAGCCUGAUGCAGCAACGCCGCGUGCGGGAUGACGGCCUUCGGGUUGUAAACCGCUUUCGCCUGUGACGAAGCGUGAGUGACGGUAAUGGGUAAAGAAGCACCGGCUAACUACGUG